rfam:Streptosporangium roseum DSM 43021, complete genome.
UGACCUCUGGAAAGCAGGCCUGACGGCCUCGCCGAAGGUGAAAGUCCGGCAAAAACCGGGCGAAGCUCUCAGGCAUCGAUGACAGAGGGGGAGGA